rnacentral:rRNA from 1 species
AACAAACGCUGGCGGCGUGCCUAACACAUGCAAGUCGUACGAGAAAGGGUCUUUCGGGAUCUGAGUAAAGUGGCGCACGGGUGAGUAACGCGUGGAUAAUCUGCCCUUCAGUUGGGAAUAACUCAUCGAAAGGUGGGCUAAUACCGACUAACGCUGUGAGACUUUGGUCGAUCAGCCAAAGAGAGCCUCUGCUUGCAUGCCCUCGCUGAAGGAUGAGUCCGCGUACCAUUAGCUAGUUGGUAGGGUAAUGGCCUACCAAGGCGACGAUGGUUAGCUGGUCUGAGAGGAUGAUCAGCCACACUGGAACUGCGACACGGCCCAGACUCCUACGGGAGGCAGCAGUGAGGAAUCUUGCGCAAUGGGGGCAACCCUGACGCAGCAACGCCGCGUGAGUGAGGAAGGUCUUCGGAUCGUAAAGCUCUGUCGGAUGGAAAGAACCGCAUGGGGGUAAAUAGCCCCCGUGUCUGACGGUACCAUCAAAGGAAGCACCGGCUAACUCCGUGCCAGCCGCCGCCGUAAGAC